GCAGAGUAGGAAAUAUGCGUAAAGUGCCAAGGGAUAGGAGGUUGCCCUUGGACGAAAAAUGGUUUGUCAUUUGCGAUGUAUUUCCGCUGCCGCUGC
rnacentral:ncRNA from 1 species